CAGUAGCCGCGGUAAUACGAAGGGGGCUAGCGUUGUUCGGAAUUACUGGGCGUAAAGCGCACGUAGGCGGAUAUUUAAGUCAGGGGUGAAAUCCCGCAGCUCAACUGCGGAACUGCCUUUGAUACUGGGUAUCUUGAGUAUGGAAGAGGUAAGUGGAAUUGCGAGUGUAGAGGUGAAAUUCGUAGAUAUUCGCAGGAACACCAGUGGCGAAGGCGGCUUACUGGUCCAUUACUGACGCUGAGGUGCGAAAGCGUGGGGAGCAAACAGGAUUAGAUACCCGAGUAGUCCCUGUCUCUUAUAC
rnacentral:rRNA from 1 species